rnacentral:rRNA from 1 species
GUAGGGAAUUUUCCGCAAUGGGCGAAAGCCUGACGGAGCAACGCCGCGUGAGGGAUGAAGGUUUUCGGAUCGUAAACCUCUGUCUUCAGGGACGAUAAUGACGGUACCUGAGGAGGAAGCCACGGCUAACUACGUGCCAGCAGCCGCGGUAAUACGUAGGUGGCAAGCGUUGUCCGGAAUUACUGGGCGUAAAGGGCGUGUAGGCGGCAAUUUAAGUCAGACGUGAAAGCCCCAGGCUUAACCUGGGAACUGCGUUUGAAACUGGAUAGCUUGAGGACCGGAGAGGGUAGUGGAAUUCCCAGUGUAGCGGUGAAAUGCGUAGAUAUUGGGAGGAACACCAGUGGCGAAGGCGACUACCUGGACGGCACCUGACGCUGAGGCGCGAAAGCUAGGGGAGCAAACGGGAUUAGAAACCCCAGUAGUCC